AUUCAGCUGACGAGUCCCAAAUAAGAUGAAACGCUUGUCUUAGAU
rfam:Schistosoma haematobium scaffold2201_8, whole genome shotgun sequence.